UACGUAGGGUGCAAGCGUUAAUCGGAAUUACUGGGCGUAAAGCGUGCGCAGGCGGUUAUGUAAGACAGGUGUGAAAUCCCCGGGCUUAACCUGGGAAUGGCAUUUGGGACUGCAAGGCUUGAGUUUGGCAGAGGAGACUGGAAUUCCUGGUGUAGCAGUGAAAUGCGUAGAUAUCAGGAGGAAUACCGAUGGCGAAGGCAGGUCUCUGGGCUAGAACUGACGCUCAUGCACGAAAGCGUGGGGAGCAAACAGG
rnacentral:rRNA from 1 species